GGAGAGGUACCCAAAGCGGCCGAAUGGGGUCCGGCUCUUCGCCGGACGGGCUCUGCCCACGCAGGUUCGAAUCCUGCCCUCUCCG
rnacentral:tRNA from 4 species